CAUUGUCUUGCAUGUUGAUUUGCCCCGCACAUAGGCCAAUGGAAAGGCCAUCAUGCUAAAAUCCUUGCCACUGCUGCGCCGCUUACCGAUCAGCAUUGUCAAGGGUCUAACACCUACCAUGGUGGUGUCGGGUGACGGAGAAUUAGGGUUCGAUUCUGGAGAGGGAGCCUGAGAAACGGUUACCACAUCCAAGAAAGGCAGCAGGCGCCGCAAAUUACCCAAUCCUGACACGGGGACUUA
rnacentral:ncRNA from 1 species